UGGGGUUAGGUCGGUUUGGGGGGACGAGGUAAUUUAAGUAUUUGGUGGUGGCAGUGUGCGGAGUCGGAGUGCGUGCGUGUGCGAGCCGUCGGUACCCGUGCAGCCCGAGGUUCCCCGACCUGCCGCAGCCCCCGGAGCCGCGCCGCCGCGAGCGGCCGCCGCCGCCGCCGCCUUACCCGCCCCUGCUCCCGCUGCCGCGGCACUGCCCCAGCACCGUGCCGCCGCGCGUCGAGAUGCACAGCGAGUUCUACCUCUUGCGCGCCUAGUAGCCGCUGGAGCACGGCGUGCAGAUGCCGAGGCUCGGGUAGUAGCCGAGUACCCUCGGGCGGGCGCGGGAGCGCUACCUCUCCCUCGACCGCAGGUACACCCUCGAGUCGAAGCAGCACGGCGGCCUGGUACUUUGUGACCUGAAGUUUAAGAACGAGUUCGGGUUCCUACGCCUCUGGGGAACGUAGUAACUCCUUCCCGGCUGCGCCGAAGAGUGGCCCCCGUACGAGCUCCCACUACACUCCGAACGUUUGAAGUCCGAAUUGCCUCUGCUACUCAACGAACUCAAGUCCCAAAAGUUGUUCCGGCUGUAGCACAGAGGCGAACUAGAACGGCGCUCGACCUCCCAUAUGUUCCUUUUAAAGGUCGGAAGGUUCCAGGCUCCUUAAGGACUAUAGUCAUAUUUACUUCGUGGGUGAGUACGCUGGCUCCUACCUAGACCAAGAUCAAACCUCGAACUGAAUCUCGUAAUACAACAAGGUUGCGGUUGACGUGGUGGUUGACUUAUACGUCGUUUGGAACGACGUUGGGGUCGUAGGAAUCUAGUUGGACUUCCUGACACCUGUUUACUAUACGAAGAAUCACUACCGUAAGUCUCAGGUUCUUCACGACGACGUCUAAAAUUUCUACUAUCAAUGGUAUUAUUCCUAUGACUCCGAAGUUAUCGUCUAAAAAGAUUAAGAUUCUUCAAUGUUCAAAGACCUUACCAUCUCAGUUUUAGUCAACCAUGGAAUUAUGUUGACGUUUUCUUCCUGUCCGGUGUUCCCGAAAUGUAACUGUCCCCACAACAGAGAGGAUUCGAACCUUUUAGUAAAUCACGUACAAGGGACCGUAGACCGGAAUUAAAACCUAGUUGUUUCCGGUACGGUCUUCGUCGUCCUCGACAACGUCGACGUCGACAUCGACUAUCCAACGUGCCUAGUUUCCUCCUGGCCUUUGACCGAUAACAAGACCAACCGGAUGGUCGAGCACCCUUUUGGAAGUGGCGUCAAUUCGAAUGUUCCAUGGAAGCAACCGAUCCAGUACUUUGUUUUGUAAAGUUGCAACCUUUCAUGGCGGCAGACUUCGUACCUCGCUUAGUCAGACGUCUAAAAAAGGCAGGACUAUUGGUUCUCCCCUAACUCCGUGCAUUACUCCACCGAUGAAAUCGUUACCUUCUGUACUAUCUGACCUACGUGCCUCCUCCAGUCCAACCAUAUAAACUACGUUGUUUGUCGUGUUCCUUUUCUUCUAUAUACGAUUACUUCUACCGACUUCCCUUGACGUUCUAUUAUAAAGACCUCUGUUAUACAUUACUAGCUUUGUAUUAGCUUUCCUUACAUGCGGACUUUUAAGUCGUUUCGGGACUAAUACGACUGGUCGGCCUAAUACUUCGACCUAACGUCCUGAAGGAACUUGCAAACUGUUUAAUACUUUUCCAGAUGCUCGGUCACGUCCUUCCGAGUAUAUAGUUUUACUAACUAUACCAUUUUCCCCUCCCACCGGUCAAUGUCCACUUGUUAUAGUCACCGAUAGAGGGACCCGCAUAACAGAAAAAGAACCACUUAAGAGUAGAACGCGGAGCCGGAUAAAACGAAUGGUCCGUACCACUCUCAAAUGUGUUACAAUCUCCUUCUCAACCACCACUGUGCCACGAUUCACUUCUGCCUCUCGAAAUGAGUUUCUUUGAUCGGUUGAAAUAACUUUUCGCGGAGUUUUUACUCUUUUGACGUUGAUAAACCUGAUCGUGAGAUGUCUCUUGUUAAAACUGUCGUUGAGGUUAACAACCUAAGGGUUUCUAUGUUACCGCACGAGAACUACUCUAGUUAAGACCACAUACACUACCCUACUGCAUACUUCUCUAUUUCUUUUAAUACGGACUCCUUAUACUCAGUGCGUUCUUCCUGUUCGACGCAAUAGCCAUGGGUGCACCCCUCAGAAUGGAACUACACUAAGUCUCCAACCUCGGACAAUAGUAGCUCGAGCUUGCGGUCGCUCGUGGUCACCAGCAAUAUAGGGUGGUCCGGCAUAAUGCUCGCGACAUGAGCAUAAAACGCCUGUCCGGAAACUCCCUUCAAGGUCUGUACCUCUACGGUGAGGUAUGGUAUUAGCUCUAUGUUUACCCGCAGUGGCCGCAGCUCCUCUUCUCCAUGUUCGAGUACCUAACUCUUAGACUCUACGUCCAUCCGAGUCGUGUUGUCGUUCAAGGCCUAACAGACAAGGUCUAUGUUGGUAUGUCUGUCAUAUAUGUAUGUCAAUUGAGUUAUGUCAUUGGUCGAUAAGUAGAGAGGAGAGGCCUGCCGCACCUUCAUUCUGAUUGGGGGGGCCACAUUUUAUAAGCUGGUUUUUGUGGAUAACCAGUGACAUUUUCUUUUGUAUAUCAUGGCGAUUAUUCAUUGACAUUUUUCUAUGACAUGGUCUUCUACAUUGACGACCAUUACUAUUCUUUUUACGUCCAAGUAGAACUUUCAUUGUUCAGUUUCCUAACAAGGGACAGGAGGAGACCAAAGGGACACCGACUACAGUCACUUGCUUUACGUGCUAGUGACGAGUGAACCUGAGAGCCCGGUAGUACUCUGCCUGGAUGGGUGGUUCGACACCUGGCGGAGACGACACGACAAGGGCAUAGGUACACUCCUGUGCUCUGCAAAGUCAAAGAACGAGGUCUUUGGGCCACCGUGCCCCGCGUCGUCACACGGUUUUGGAGGGUGCUAAAGUACGCCGUGAUGCUUCCGACAUCCCCGGCCUGCCUGCAUACGAACCGACCGACCAGCGGUGUUCAACGGUUAUCAAAAACACGUCUUUCCAUACAUCCGUUCGGUAUCAAAUACACCGCUCGUUUUCCGCCGUAAACUGCAGCUACCAUGCAGCUACUGUACACCCCAUACGACCGUAACUUUGCGUCGCGUCCGUGCUCAAGCAACUUCUAUUGUUUUAGACGUUGAACACUCUUCUUUGGCUCUGUGAGCAAUGGGCGACGGAAGCCUAUAUAUCAUGUAUACCAAGUCAGCGACCAGUGACCUGACGGUAUACGUACUAACGUGUGACGUGGCACGGGUGGUCGUAGGUCGGUACAGCGGCAAACGCGGAGGUAUGUUGUGGUUGCAGGAGGACCGACGACACUGGCGCGAGAGCCGCCGUUAGCGCAAGCAGCGACGCGAGGUGGAGAUGCGGGCCACGAAGGACGUCGCAGCACGGUGGUGGUGGCGGCGGCGUAACUCGUUGGGAGUGCGCGACCGCGACCGCGACGUCGCCGGCGGCCUGCCGAUGCUCGAGCUCCACUAGUGUCACCUACGGCACACGCGCGGCCUCGGGCGACCCGACCCGCGGUUCCUCGAGCCGCGCGACGGCCACGAGCACACCCUCAGAAGCAGACGGUUCCACAGCCGGCGGCGGCAGUGACUCGUAACGCGGCAUACGGAACCCCUCUACCUCCUGCCGCUCGACCCCUCCGACGAGGGCCGCACGUCGGUACGCAAGGUGCAGCCCACGUAGCUGCGCACCGAGGCCGACUCGAGGUGCACGGGCCAGACGUCCAGCCGCCACUCCUGCGUCCUCCUACCCCGCCGCGGCCACCGGACUCACCGACCGGGGCACUCGAUCGAUCUCGACGGCUCACGUCACAUGUACCCAUUUGAUAUCUGCCGACCGUACCACAAAGAGAAGAAAAACAAAACAGAACAAUUCCAAUAAUUAAGGUAGACUCAAGACCCCUAAUGUACGACCUUAAAUAUACUUUGUCAUGUUUAGCUUAUUUAGAGGGUCCUUUUUGGCGCACGAGCCUUGGUGUGAGUCUACUAGGAUCUUCUUUACG
rnacentral:rRNA from 1 species